rnacentral:rRNA from 1 species
UUACGGUCAAAUCACACUGAAACACCGGUUCUCGUACGAUCACCGAAGUUAAGCAGCGUAGAGAGCCAGGUCAGUACUUAGAUGGGGACCGCUUGGGAACACCUGGUACUGUAAG